rnacentral:rRNA from 1 species
AUGCCCCUGGACUUCACCAAGCACUUCGUCGCGGUGCCGACGGAGUUCAAGCUCAGGAACAACACCGGCUGCUCCUGGAAGGUGACGGUGAAGCUGAUAAACGACAGGGUGACCCUGGAUCAGGGUUGGGCCACCUACGCAGUCAUUCAUCAGAUCAAGAUCGGCUACAUGGUGACGUUCAAGCUCCUCACUCCCGACACCCUCAAGGUCAUCAUCUUCGACGAGGAUGGCAUUGAGGUCGUCAACAAGUGCGGGAAGCACGACGAAGCCUUCACCGCCAAGGAGUAG